GAUGAACGCUAGCUACAGGCUUAACACAUGCAAGUCGAGGGGAAACGAUGAGAGAGCUUGCUCUCUUAGGCGUCGACCGGCGCACGGGUGAGUAACGCGUAUCCAACCUACCCAUUACAGGGGGAUAACCUUGCGAAAGUAAGACUAAUACCCCAUGGCAUUUUAUGGUGGCAUCAUUAUAGGAUUAAAGAUUUAUUGGUAAUGGAUGGGGAUGCGUCUGAUUAGCUUGUUGGCGGGGUAACGGCCCACCAAGGCAACGAUCAGUAGGGGUUCUGAGAGGAAGGUCCCCCACAUUGGAACUGAGACACGGUCCAAACUCCUACGGGAGGCAGCAGUGAGGAAGAUUAGUCAAUGGGCGAGAGCUUGAACCAGCCAAGUAGCGUGCAGGAUGACGGCCCUAGGGGUUGUAAACUGCUUUUAUAGGGGAAUAAAGUGAGAUACGUGUAGUUUAUUGCAUGUACCCUAUGAAUAAGGACCGGCUAAUUCCGUG
rnacentral:rRNA from 1 species